rnacentral:lncRNA from 1 species
CAAGUCCUUUUGACUUAAUCGAGAUAAAACAUCAUUUUGUUUCUACGUAGCCAUAUAGAUCGCAUGCGAAUAAAUCGCGGCCGUUUCUCACGAUUUAUAUGAUUUCUCAUAGAAAUAUUAGUUAUCAUACGCUAUCGUGCAAUAGUCGAACGAAAAUGAUCUAAGAGAAUAGUUUGUAUGUAUUAUAUAUUUCAAGUUCAAACGUUCGAGAAUAAUUGAUCUUUGCAGAAAAAGAAUGAUCGUUUAAAUAUGGAUUAGAAAUAAUGAUUUUUUAUUUGGUGUCAUUUAAAAUGUACCGGGCGACGAGAAAUACUCGAUCCACCAUCGAACCCUCCCCCACUUUACCUUACUGUGCUACCGUCGAUGUUGGCCGUCGAUUCGGCGGACGAUUCGACGGACGACAGAUUCGCGGACUUCGCAUUACUGAUUGUGGCUUUCAAUAUAGAAAGGACGCGUCUUUGUUAGUUGUUAAUGUUUUUUUAAUAGUGCUCCAUUUGCAUACAUUACGGUGAUUCAUUUAAAGAAGAUUAUUAUGAAGAAAUUAGUGCAAUUCCAUCAUCUUUCACCGUAUACAAGCAAGUAUAUGGGGAUUCGACGAUAAGUAUCGACGGUCAAUGCAGUCGAAUGUUGCUCUCUUCGUUGAACAUGCAUAUAUCUACUAACGUCUUACCUGGAUUUUCAUUUCCGCUGGGUAUUGGAUGAUGGAUCGUUGUUAGCCACAUCGGUGAAAGGCAUGGGGCAUCAUUAAGGCCGUGGCGUUCAGAUGGCGAUCGAUGAAAUUCAUAAAUAUCAUGAGAAGCUACUGGAGAAUCGAUGUGAGUGACUGUUGGUAAAAAUAACUCCCUCGUACCUAAUUUGGAUGGGAGAGCCAAGUUUUGAUAAAAGCUACCCCGUGCGGCGAGGCAGCUUUUUUUGGACGUUUGCUUCGCAAUCACCCAGAUAUGCUUUUACUCGAGAGCAUGACUAUCAAUUCUGGUGAAAAAGUGGCUUCAACAAUUAUUAUGAAAAUGUAUAUAUGAGAAAUAUAUUGUUGCGUAUAUCAAUUUGAUUUAACUUUCUCAUAAAUUUCUAAUCCAAAAUAACGAUUGGAUUGGAUAUUUAAAAGAACGCAAUUAUAGAUGACAAAUUUCAUUCUAAACUUAAAAUCUAUAUAUUACAUAAUGCGCGUAUCUCAAAAGUAAGACAACAUUUAGCUGAUUACAUAGAAAUAAAAUAAAGUUUUUAAAAUAAAUUUCCUGAUUUGUUAAAUCAAAUAAAAAAACAUUGUUGAAACGCGUCUCAAAAUUCUAUUAGGGUCUAUAGGAUUUAUACAAGGAAAGGAUAAUAAUCGUGUUUCAGUAUAUUAAAUCAUA